GACGAACGCUGGCGGCGUGCUUAACACAUGCAAGUCGAACGGAAAGGCCCUGCUUUUGUGGGGUGCUCGAGUGGCGAACGGGUGAGUAACACGUGAGUAACCUGCCCUUGACUUUGGGAUAACUUCAGGAAAUUGGGGCUAAUACCGGAUAGGAGCUCCUGCUGCAUGGUGGGGGUUGGAAAGUUUCGGCGGUUGGGGAUGGACUCGCGGCUUAUCAGCUUGUUGGUGGGGUAGUGGCUUACCAAGGCUUUGACGGGUAGCCGGCCUGAGAGGGUGACCGGCCACAUUGGGACUGAGAUACGGCCCAGACUCCUACGGGAGGCAGCAGUGGGGAAUAUUGCACAAUGGGCGGAAGCCUGAUGCAGCAACGCCGCGUGCGGGAUGACGGCCUUCGGGUUGUAAACCGCUUUCGCCUGUGACGGAGCGUGAGUGACGGUAAUGGGUAAAGAAGCACCGGCUAACUACGUG
rnacentral:rRNA from 1 species